GAAAACAUAUAGACCCGUCUUCAAUUUGAUCGAUUAUUAACAUUUAAAAAUACCUAAAGUUGUAUUACAAAAGUAGUUUGAAAUUUUUAGGCAAAGUUUUACAGGCAACUUUUGAAAUAUUUUGCAGUGACUUUGUCCAAUUUGGAAGCUGUUUUUUUCUGGAUCAAACACACCAAAUAAAUUGACAUUUUAGAUAUAUAUGGACGGAAUUAAUCGAAGAAAAGGACAAAUUGUGAUGUUUAUGGGACAUAUUGGAGUGCCAACAAAAGAAGCUGGUCAAAGGAACUUGAACACAUGCAAUGUAAAUUCUGCAAAUUUGUCCACUUCAAUCAAGAGGUCCUUCUGAAACACUGUCAAAUAGGAGGAGCAAACUGGCCCCGUCUUUACUCUGAUUGUGUCUGUACCUUUAACUACGGGAUUGGUGUCCCUAAACCGGGACGGUUGUUGCUAUGGUGGGCUGAUGUGACUACAAUGACAUCUGUGUUGAAAUUAAGUGCAUCACCAACGUGAAACUGCUGGAGACAUUCAGAGCAUCUUUAAACCAGCACUCGCCUCAAACUGUACCGAGCCAGAAGGGGAGCUCUUGGACAGGAGAUCCAAGAUGUUGUAUAUUAACACCUGACUGCCCUUGCUUAGAGCCUAGUCUAACCUUGCCAUUUUAGAACACAGGUAUAUCAUAUCCUGGUGAAAGCCAGACACAACUCUAUUUAUAGGACAGGAAAAUCUUCCGGGCAUGAUUUUCAACCCCAAAAAUUACUGAUCCAUUUCACUUCCCUCUCAGAAUUGACACUAGCUGUGGUUUGUUCUGGACUCAGUCUGCCAAUUUAAAUGUGCGGGUGGUGUAUGGUAGGUCUAGGGAGUACCUCAAAAUGCUUAAUCUUUCAGCAACGUAUCACGUUUUAGCAAUAUCUGCAUUUAAGGUAUCAUAAAUGCCACAAAUUACUCACAAAUAAAUCAUAUUGUUUUCUUUUGCGUAUUGUUUUUCCGACCUCAAACAUUGUGGCACAGAGGAAGAUAAUAGUCCUGGAAGGCCUCCCCUUGUUUGUUCGCGAAAAUCCAGCAAAGCUACUGAAGACAUGCGUGGACACUGCUCCAGAGAAGAGCCAGACCAGAGGCGUCGAAGCUGGCAUCCUCACGGUUAUUGUGCUGGAAGAGGCUGUUGUCUUAAAAAUAUCUUCCAGACCUGCCAUCUGCAUUUGUUUACCUGUUUGGCCUCAAC